GCCUAACACAUGCAAGUCGAACGGUAACAGGAAGCAGCUUGCUGCUUCGCUGACGAGUGGCGGACGGGUGAGUAAUGUCUGGGAAACUGCCUGAUGGAGGGGGAUAACUACUGGAAACGGUAGCUAAUACCGCAUAACGUCGCAAGACCAAAGAGGGGGACCUUCGGGCCUCUUGCCAUCGGAUGUGCCCAGAUGGGAUUAGCUAGUAGGUGGGGUAACGGCUCACCUAGGCGACGAUCCCUAGCUGGUCUGAGAGGAUGACCAGCCACACUGGAACUGAGACACGGUCCAGACUCCUACGGGAGGCAGCAGUGGGGAAUAUUGCACAAUGGGCGCAAGCCUGAUGCAGCCAUGCCGCGUGUAUGAAGAAGGCCUUCGGGUUGUAAAGUACUUUCAGCGGGGAGGAAGGCGAUAAGGUUAAUAACCUUGUCGAUUGACGUUACCCGCAGAAGAAGCACCGGCUAACUCCGUGCCAGCAGCCGCGGUAAUACGGAGGGUGCAAGCGUUAAUCGGAAUUACUGGGCGUAAAGCGCACGCAGGCGGUCUGUCAAGUCGGAUGUGAAAUCCCCGGGCUCAACCUGGGAACUGCAUUCGAAACUGGCAGGCUAGAGUCUUGUAGAGGGGGGUAGAAUUCCAGGUGUAGCGGUGAAAUGCGUAGAGAUCUGGAGGAAUACCGGUGGCGAAGGCGGCCCCCCUGGACAAAGACUGACGCUCAGGUGCGAAA
rnacentral:rRNA from 1 species